UCACAAUCACGUGCCGUGAUGACUUGGA
rnacentral:piRNA from 1 species